GAUGAAGAACGUAGCGAAAUGCGAUAAGUAAUGUGAAUUGCAGAAUUCAGUGAAUCAUCGAAUCUUUGAACGCACAUUGCGCCCGCUAGUAUUCUGGCGGGCAUGCCUGUUCGAGCGUCAUUUCAACCCUCAGGCCCCCAGUGCCUGGCGUUGGGGAUCGGCCGCUGGCGUCCUUCGGGGCGCCUGGCCGGCCCCGAAAUCUAGUGGCGGUCUCGCUGUAGUCCUCCUCUGCGUAGUAGCACAACCUCGCAGUUGGAACUUGGCGGUGGCCAUGCCGUUAAACACCCCACUUCUGAAAGUUGACCUCGGAUCAGGUAGGAAUACCCGCUGAACUUAAGCAUAUCAAUAAGCGGAGGA
rnacentral:misc_RNA from 1 species